CAAAACCUGGGACAACCUGCCGAAAGGCAAGCUAAUACCGGAUAAGCCUACGAAGUCUUCGGACUUUGAAGGAAAAGAUGGCCUCUGCAUGCAAGCUAUCAUUUUGAGAUGAGCCCGCGGCCCAUCAGCUAGUUGGCGGGGUAAUGGCCCACCAAGGCAACGACGGGUAGCUGGUCUGAGAGGACGAUCAGCCACACUGGAACUGAGACACGGUCCAG
rnacentral:rRNA from 1 species